AUGGCUUCUUGCCACUGGGCAGCAUGAAGUCCAGUUAAUGCCUCGUCAACAUUCGCUGGAAUGGGGAUUCGUUCUGGAUUAGCAGCCACGAAGUUAGCCUGCUUCCAGUUGCAGCCUCGAUGGUACGGGAACUCGAGCAGAGCACCGUGGUUCAGGACGUGCUGGAGGGUGGAUCACAGGUUGUGGAACAAGUGGAGAGUCUGGGAGAGCUCCCACUGAAGUUGGCGACCUGCUUCCAGCUCCCACUGAAGGUGAUGAUCCACGUCCAGCUCCCACUGAAGAUGAGCCGAGGAAGAACUCAGGAGCAGCUUGAAAUUUCUCGUCGCCCUCGAAAGGCGUAGCUGGAGGGUGUGGUGGCAGUGCUGGAAGAACCACCACGUUACCACCAGCUGGAG